AUUGAACGCUGGCGGCAUGCUUUACACAUGCAAGUCGGACGGCAGCGGGGGUGCUUGCACCUGCCGGCGAGUGGCGAACGGGUGAGUAACAUAUUGGAAUGUACCGAGUAGUGGGGGAUAACCAAUCGAAAGAUUGGCUAAUACCGCAUACGUCCUGAGGGGGAAAGCAGGGGAUCUUCGGACCUUGCGCUAUUUGAGCAGCCAAUAUCUGAUUAGCUAGUUGGUGGGGUAAAGGCCCACCAAGGCGACGAUCAGUAGCGGGUCUGAGAGGAUGAUCCGCCACACUGGGACUGAGACACGGCCCAGACUCCUACGGGAGGCAGCAGUGGGGAAUUUUGGACAAUGGGGGCAACCCUGAUCCAGCCAUGCCGCGUGUCUGAAGAAGGCCUUCGGGUCGUAAAGGACUUUUGUUAGGGAAGAAAAGGGAAGUGUUAAUACCACUUUUUGCUGACG
rnacentral:rRNA from 1 species